GUAUUUUUCCACUGAAAUUGUUACCGCUAAUCCUAAAAUCUUUUAAUUUGGUGAUCUUAGCGAGUUCCUUAGGUAACGAUCCGGAGAGAUUGUUGGCAUUAAGAAUGAGGGUAUCCAAUUCAACCAAGUUUCCAAGCUCACCAGGAAUAGGUCCAUAAAAAAGAUUGUUCUCUAAGUUCAGGUAUGUAAGCGAGGUGAUGCUUCCCAAGUAUGUUGGAAUUGGACCUGUUAAGUUGUUCACUGAGAUGGACAGAAUUUCCAGUUUUGUGAAAGCCCAUUCAGGUGGUAUAUUGCCACUAAGGUAGUUACGAGUCAGAUCAAGUCCCUUAAGGAAAGGCAGCUUCGCAAUUGAUUUUGGAAGCACACCAUCAAAAUCUCUCUCCUUGAGAAUUAUGUAAAAAACAUGGCAUACACCAUCCAGGCCUGUGCAAUUGCAGAGGAUCGUAUUCUUGUAAGGUUUAGUGAAGUCUGAUUCCUUCCAGUGUGACAAGUCAUUGCUGCUGGCAGGUUGGAAUCUCCAGUCUUCUUUUCCCAGUUGUGUUGCAAUUUCACGUAGAGCUUCCACUUCAUCAACAGGAAAUGAAAGAUUCACAGAUAGUGCUUCAACCGUGCACAUUUGCAACAUAAGCAUAAGCAAGGUAGGUCUUAAAAUACCGGGAAUAGCCUUCCUCUUCUUCACCAUCCACUUCCCACUGCGCAAGCCUUCAUCUGGAUCCAAGGGCGAUGGACCAAAGCAACCCACCAUAGCUUGGAAUAAGAAAAAACACUGUUUAAAAUAAGAGCAGACGAAUUGGACCCUCAAUCCUGCAUAUCAAUCCAAGAAAUUGCAGAAGUGGCUAAUAGGUAUGCCAUACAAUUUGCUGACCUUUUAAU
rnacentral:misc_RNA from 1 species